UGCAGUCGAGCGAAUGGAUUAAGAGCUUGCUCUUAUGAAGUUAGCGGCGGACGGGUGAGUAACACGUGGGUAACCUGCCCAUAAGACUGGGAUAACUCCGUUGAAACCGGGGCUAAUACCGGAUAACAUUUUGAACCGCAUGGUUCGAAAUUGAAAGGCGGCUUCGGCUGUCACUUAUGGAUGGACCCGCGUCGCAUUAGCUAGUUGGUGAGGUAACGGCUCACCAAGGCAACGAUGCGUAGCCGACCUGAGAGGGUGAUCGGCCACACUGGGACUGAGACACGGCCCAGACUCCUACGGGAGGCAGCAGUAGGGAAUCUUCCGCAAUGGACGAAAGUCUGACGGAGCAACGCCGCGUGAGUGAUGAAGGCUUUCGGGUCGUAAAACUCUGUUGUUAGGGAAGAACAAGUGCUAGUUGAAUAAGCUGGCACCUUGACGGUACCUAACCAGAAAGCCACGGCUAACUACGUGCCAGCAGCCGCGGUAAUACGUAGGUGGCAAGCGUUAUCCGGAAUUAUUGG
rnacentral:rRNA from 1 species